ensembl:lncRNA
AAUGAACUCUGCCUCCCACCCUCUCCCACUGUGACUUGCUGUGAAUAAGCGCUGCUCGAAGGAAACCAUGGUGAGGGCUCUGCCUCCUUCCAGCAGAAACAGCCGAGUGAGGCUCAGCGCUGCUCCUCCAGGUGGGACCGCAGGAAACAUCUUUACCAGCACAGGAACUACAGCUUUGUAAUUGGCCUGGUGCAAGAACAUGACAGCGUUUUCUCAUCCUAUCAGGACUCGGAUAUUUUGGGAGCUGGUAUAUAAGGCGCACAGCACACAGUGUCUCUUGGACAUUAGGAACAGGUUCAUGUGAGAAAUCAGUGUGCUUUGCUAUUUUAGUGGUUGCUAUAGUUGCAGCAUGAAUGAUUUUUUUCUGGCCUGCCGCAAUUCGGGGCGAUGUUUUCUUAUAGUUCAUAUGUAUACUUUUAUUAUUUGAGCGCAGAUGGACGUACUUAAAGUAAUUAACAUGGUGAUGCAAGUCUUGUAAAGAAGUCCUUAGCAAAUAAGCAGCAAAGCCCUAAAUCACAUAAAUGGAGGCCUCGUUGAGCUUUCGUUAAGCGCUCAGACUUCGAUGGCGUGGGACUGAGCUCCAUCCAAGCCCAUUUCAGGUUUCUCCAGAUGAUAAAAGCGCUCCGUUUGGUCUCUGAAAUAAGAAGCGCUCGUUGUGCUGAACGAUCUGUGUUGGAAGGAAUGGCCCUCAUGGCAAAGAGUCCAAUAACUCUCCAACGGGUGUGAGAUCCGAGUCAGCAGCAUUUAAUGGAGCUGUGAAGAGCUGAGCGGGAAGGCGGCCAAUAGUGCAAUUAAUAUUCUGUACAGAGUUGCACCACUCUGAUGACAGCAAACCUCGUUUGGAGCACAUGACAAAGCUGCAGUGUUUUUUCCAUAGCUGCCAUCAGUGUUUGGAUCCAAAGUAACCGUAACCACUAAAAAUGAGGAAUGACAGCAAACCCAACACCAGCAACUGCAGCCCGAAGUGCAUCCUGGGAAGCACAUAAUGUAAGAGUCUGAUAUACAGCAAACACUUUGGUAGGGAUGGGUGAAGGAAUCACUUUGUUCUUGAGAAGACUGACAGAGGGUGAGGAAAGUCAGUUGGUAUUUUGCUUUCCUUCUUCAGCACUGCUUUCAGCUCUGCAGCUCUCCGUUGCACUGCCCCCAUGGGCACCAGCAGUGCCCCGUGCCGUCACAGGGAGCUGCCAUGCUCCGAUGGCUCAAAGCUUCCAUCCCCAGACUUAUCUCCGUGUGUGAUGUCAAAACCCAAAAAUAUGGAGGGCUGAUGACAACAGGAGUUAUUUCUGCAGGUCUGACACACAGCGGGGAUGGAUGGUGUGAGGGCUCUGUUUUCCUGUCUUGCUCACUCUUGCAACAUGCUGGCAGAGAUGGUAGGAAGGAGGGAAUGUUUUGGUCCUUUCUGAAGUAACUGAGCUCUGCUGUGAUGAAGCAGCUCUCUUUUUGCCAAGCACUGCUUUGUGAUGGUAUGGCCAGAGGGAUCAAGAAUGAUAAAGUGAUUAUUUUUUUUUUGUAUCAAACAUAAGAUCUUUUUCUUUUUUGGAUGGAGGGAAGGAACAAGAAUGCAGCAGCAAAAAGCAGCAGCUGCAAUGGCUGGAGGAUAUAGCCAGCCAAAAUCGAGCUAGAAGAGUUUGUUUCCAGCACAGUGUGUGUGUCCAUGUGCACGUGCUGCUGCUGACAUUGCUGAUGUGGAGGAGCUCAGAGCUCCUGCAUGGAGCUGGGGCAGAUGCAGCCCUGGAGCUCUGCCACAGCACGAAGACAGCUCCAAGCAGUGAGUUGUGAGCAACGUUGCACUGCAAAUAACCGUACCAGUCCCCGUGCCUCCAAAACUUCAGAGUAAUCCUUCCUAGAAGGUUUUUCCCUCGCUGAGCUCAUCAAAGCUCUGCUCUCGCAAGAACCGCACACCUCCACGCUCAGCGGGGCUUCCUGCAGCGCCCCGGGACGUCCCCGGGCUGCCAACGUGGGCAGGAGUGCACACGGGGAACUCUCACUGGUGUUUCCUGUGCUGAUCCUGGUGAGAACAGCAGCCAUACGAGGACGUGGAGGCCCAGGCCAUGCCCCACCCUGCCCUCCUGGGCAGCUGGUACCAGGAAGGUGCUGCUUCCUCCUGCUCCAUCCACAUAAACACAUCACAGUUGGGAAUUCCAGCUCUGUUUCGGGCUGAGUACCAGCUCUCUCUCCCUUUGCCCCUCCAGGACACUGGUAACUCGCCCUCGGCCGUAUGGGAGGUUCAACAUCUCAUCAGCCACAAGGUGACAGCCUCCAGUCCAGAGCCAUUAAAAGCUUCCUCAGCAGAAGAAAGGUUCUGAGCCCAAUGCUGUGGCUCUGGGGCCCACUCAGGAAUCAGCAGGCAUUGGUCACAACAGCCACCCACCAGGACAUGGAGGACACUGCAGUGAUGUGAGCUUAUUUGCAGAGCUGGUUUCUGCACCACAUGCAGCCCUACAAAGCAGAGCCUGAAGGACUCAGGACAAACCCAACCACAAUUGAGGAAUGGGGCAUGGCCAAGCAAAGGGUGGCUUUUGGUGGAACACUGCAAACCUGGCUGCAGUAAUGCAGGGACCGGUUGGUAUCAGUGCUUCCUACGAAGGCAGCGUGUGGACCAUGGCUGUGCUGUGCUCAGCGGGAGGGCGAGGCGUCCUAUUUCGGGUGAGCAAACCAAGCCUUCUGCAGGGCUCUGGGAGGCUGCAGAGCGCUGUGCAUGAAGCACCUCGGUGCAGGGAGGAGGCUGGGGCUGCGAUUCUUCACCUCUUUUUCUUGGGAGGCACAGCUCCUUCACUGCUUUUAGAGUGGUCUACAGCAAGGGAAGACCAUCAGUGCAAUACACUGGAAAAGCUCCAAAGAGAAAUGCAGAGAGGAAUGAUUGCCAUUUGUGUGGGUGAAAGUGAAAAGGAUGAAGAAGCCUUUGGCGCACACUGGGAGUGAACUGUCUUCUUGUUUUUCUGAUACUCUUGAAAAGAAACAAGCAGCUGCUCUUUAUUUUCUCCAUCAGCCAGCACCAGGGCCUCAGCAGGGCUCGGCUGUUGGGCUGCAUGAAGCUGGACAGCCCCGUGUCCCUGAGCCAUCAGUGGCACCGCUCGGACACAGCAGUGGGACAAAAAAUCCCCAUCAGUGCAGAGAGCAGCUGAGACAGGCAUUUAUCCUCCAUGUGCACUGGGCCAAGGCUGAGCACGGUGCUAAGGACAAAUGGACCUCUUCUCUCAUUCUGUAGAGAUCUGCAGCCUUACAGUCCUCAUAGAAAUACCUUUGGGCAAACCAGAUUAUUUUGACUUUGGACAACAUCAUUCAUGAAACUCUGCACCACAAGCUUGGUCUGAAGGAAACCACACACGAUUUGACUCCUUUAUCUUGUAUCAGCGGCGGAGAGCUCGAUGCGGUUACAGUUCUCCUCAUUUCUGAGAAGAGAGGAUCAUAUUUAAUCAUUGUGUCAGUUGGCACAAACACCAUGUUUGUAGUGAAAUGCUAAAAAACAGCGCAUUUAUCUUUCCCUCGAUCAAGAUUCAUACGAUAGGAGCUCUUAACGUUUAAACUCAUCAGUCAUGAAACUCUGUAGGGCUCAGCUUCCCCGCUUGUUUACUGUAACUUAUCCUAAAGAAUGAGCUGACCUCUCUUGCCUAAUAUAACAAAUACAGUAUCAGUAAUAUCCACCCAAGGGCAUUUGUUCCCUGGCAGACUCCUGCUUUGGCUCUAAGAUAUUAUUCCUGGACCUUUUUAUUUUUUUGCAGUGGGAUGUCAGCUAUUUUGCUUCACUGAGCAGCACAUUUCAAAACACAAAGUGCCUGCAGGGGUUGCCUCAUCGCAUGUCCUUAUCAGCUGCAGAAACGGAGGAGCCAAGAGCAACUUGGAGGCAGAGAGAUGCUGAACUCAAGGAGUGCUGAAGUUCCUUCUCAGACCCAAAUGAGGAGCCCGGAGGAUUUCAGCCACUGCUUCCUGCAGCGAUCCCAUUGUGUCCACUUGCAGCAUGCAAAUCUCAGAGAGCUGCUGUUCCUUACAGUGCUAUUACAUCACCCACCUCUCCAACAGCCCUCAUACUGACCCACUCUGAUCCAUGUUAUUUUAUGGGCACUGGCUUGUGCUGUGGUGUCCAGAAGUCCCAAACCUCCCCUGUGCAUCAAAGUGAAUGAACACCACAGAGAAAAGGCAGCCCUUGCCCUAAAAAGUGCUCACUUUUCACUCACCUCUAAAUCUAUCUGGGCUUUAAUCUCUUCUUUUUCACCGGUUUCGGUACAACACCCACCAUGCUCAGACAUGGCAGUGGCAGCAGAGGCUCAAGGAGGCAAUAGGCACAGCCACCAGCGAGAUGAGGCGUGCUCUGUGUGUUCUCAGACAGCAGCUUCAAAUGUGACGAUGUCUGAGAACGGCACUGCUACAGAAAAGGCUCCCUGUGCUCUCAGGGACCACCAGGAGGAGAUGGCAGCACCUGAUCCCACUGCCUGAGACCCAGCAUCGAAAAUGAGCACUGCUACGACCUCUUGGUUGGUGCUGUGUCAGCUCAGACCCUGCAUCGGGCACCGAAUGGCAGCCCGUGGGAGCGUUGCUUUCGUAGAGGUUGGAGUUUCAGUGGUUUCUAACGACUUGUUCGGUUGAUACCAAAGUGUGGAGGAGUUAAAAAGUCAGCUGUGAUCUUGGCAAACCCAACCAAACAGGCCGAGGAAGUGCCAGUUCACAGAGCAGAGCACAGCCCAUGCCAUGCCCCGAGGAUGACUCUUCACACCCCUGUUGCUAAGUUAAGGGUCUGAGAGUGUAUUUUUUUUUCCUCCUUAAAGUCAUAGAAUCACAGAAUGGCUGGGUUGGAAAGGACCUUACAGACCAUCCUGUUCCAACCUCCCUUUAGACCAGGCUGCCCAAAGCCCCAUCCACGGCCUUGAGCACCUCCAGGAAUGGGGCACCCACAGCUCUCUGGGAAGCCUGUGCCAAUGUAAUGGCAUAAUGAAAAUACAGUAAAACAUUUAAUUCCAAGAGAAGGAUAAUACAGGGAAGUAGCUGCUUUUGCAGACAUCUCUAUGGAGUCAAGAGUCCUACUGAAGCUUUCCACCAAUCUCUCAAAUAAAACCCUCAUUUUUAUCUGUACAUUUCUCUGUCUCCAGAGGCUGCCUUCUCUCCUGUCCUAGUUUACCUAAGAAGUGAACUGAAUGUCCAGUUAGAAUAAAUGAAGAACUAAUGUUCAUUCGCUUGAUUUAAUACUUUGGUACUACCUUGACUGGACCCAGCUACAAACUGUGAAGGCAUCAUGAAGCAUUAACAAUACUUCAUUUCAGUCAUUACCACAUUGAAGUGUUCUGAGCAUCUCAGAAAGGCAUCUUUGGACAUGGUAUGAUGGGCGAACGAGCAUCUACAAAGAUCUGGGAUACAUCUUCUCCAUGAAAUGCCAUUUCUAUGCCACAGUUCCCAGGUUGGGAACCCAGAAAAAGGGUGGAUUGAGUAUACAUUAGUGAAAAAGAAAGAAACAAAGAAAACCAAAACAAGAGCUGGGGUGAGAGAGGUGGGGACCUUCGUCUCUUGAAGAUUCUUCUGCAGAUGGCUUCAGUUUCAAAAUCACUGAUGUCCUUUACUACUGUCCACAGCCCCUUGAGGUUUACUGAUGUGCUGUUAAGCUGCUGAAGCUAAAAGCAGCACUCUGUACAGAUGCAGCCACAGUUACGGCUUUGAAAUGAGCGAACAGAGCAACAACAAAGAACAGGAGCUCUGGGCUCUGAAACACUGCUCAGAGCACGAAGGCAGUGAAAAAUAAUGCUUUGUUAACUUCUUGUUUAGGAAAAAAGCAGAACACUUCCUCUAAUGACACAUUCACUGACAGUGGUGCUUUGAUGACUCCUUCACACUGGUGAAUCAUGGAUCUAAGUGCAGGGACAAACUGUUCCUGUCCAAAGGCCGCCAGCCUGGUGGUUCUCUGCCACCCAACAGAAAGUGCUGCUCUUCCUCCUGCUUCCUAACACACCAUCGCCAUCAGAAAUCCAGCUGAGCCAACACUGGCAGCUCUGAUCAGCCCAUGGUCACUGCAACGCCGAGCUGUCCCAGGAGCUCGCCAGGCUUCCUUUCACCGCGCUCCUCCUGAGGCAGCUCAUACGGUUGGACAUUUCCCUUUGCAGGCAGCUGUUCUUUCCAAAUUCCUUACAUUUUAGAUUAUAUACCCUCAAUUUUGAUCUUUUGCUUUAAAAACACUUUCAUUUGAAGCUUAAUAGCAAAGGCUCAGUGCAUCUGCCAGAGUUCCUGGCACAGCCAGUGUCCUGCAGGAGCAAUUACUUUCCAGUGAGUCUCUAGAAUUGCUUAUUUACUUUCACUCGUAUGCCAAAAAUACUUUAAAAUCAGGACAGUUUUUUCCAGUUACACAAUCACCAGAAAUAUCUUGAAUCCAUACGCUUCCACUGUGGUUCAAUAGUUAAUCUGAAAGCAGUCAAAACAAUUCAUAAGGUAUGCAAAGAUCGCCCUGUCUCGGGAUGAAGGCUUCAGAAGCACAGCUCCGUGUGCUCACGUCAACGAAGGCCACAAAGCCAAAUCAGUUCCCACCCCAUUAUAACCACACAGGGAAAAGCAACUGCAAAGCACCUUCCUGAGCAGCACCAUCACAGCCACUCACUUCUACAGAGCCCUUCUUGUCUAUCCAUGUUGACUUUAUUUACUAUUCUUGACAAAACAACACAACAUUGGACUUCUGACAAGCCAUGAGAUUUAGGAUACCAAUCCACGGGAGCUUUUCAAUAAAUUAUAGUUAAUUAAGAUUGUUGGUGAGCGACAGUGGCUGCUCCUACUCCUUUUGAUUCACCAAAAGCACCGGUAAAACGUAGUUUUUGGCUCCCCUGGUUUAAAAAUCAGAGCCUCUCCCCUCCCUGCCCCGGGGGCACAGGUAAGGAAGCACACAACACCCACAACACCAACUUCUGAAGCAUCUCCUCAAAGCACUCUUUGCAAAUUGAGGCGCCAUUCGUUCUCCUUACUCAUGCAUAUUUUAAAUUCCCUUUUAAGUUUCAACGGUUUGCAUGGGUGUAAUUCGGAGCAGACUGGGGCCUUACAUAUUUUGCAUACCAACUAGUUAUGUGAGCCCAAUUUCUGAAAAAGAGAUUAUAUGAGCAUUAUGAUGCAGCUGAGGAGUAACCACUGGAAAAAAAAGUACAAGAAAGCCAGAAGGAUUUGCUUUUUAAUUUUAAGCGCAUGUUCACAAAUGAAAGUGAGAAUUGUGCCCAUCAACAAUGGCCGGAACAGAAUCAGCCCUUCUCCAAACCUACUGAGGAACCAUCGUCUUAAUGUGUAGGUUUAAGUUACUGGCACUUUCUGCUUUAUGGAUAUAUAUGGCAUCUAGACUUUAAACGAUAUUGCAAAAGUAGAAAUAGCACGAUAAACCUUCAAAGCUGAAAUAAAAAAGAACCUGUGUUUUAACUUAGCGCUGAGUAUUUAUACAGCCGGCACCGUUUAGUCCGGCAUGUUUGAGCGAGCGCAAGUCUGUGGUUGCAGCUCUGUGUAAAAAUAUUGCAGCCUGCUCCUGCUUUAGGAGCUAAACUUCAGUUCCCAAUAGCUCCCUCUGUAAUUCUCUUUCCAAAUAAAAGGAAGAGCUAUUCCUGGCUCGUAACGGUGUAUUUCUGUGGCUUCUUGAACUAUAAUGAAGGCAGUCUGGAAUGUUAAAAAUUACAUGCUCAAUGCCAAUUCUUAACCCAGGGUAAUUUAGGCUUUAAAUGUUUUGAAGUUUACAUUUUGAGUCUGUUAUUGUACAACUUCUUAAUUAAAAUGUUGCUGUAGUCCA